rnacentral:rRNA from 1 species
GACGAACGCUGGCGGCGUGCCUAAUACAUGCAAGUAGAACGCACAGUUUAUACCGUAGCUUGCUACACCAUAGACUGUGAGUUGCGAACGGGUGAGUAACGCGUAGGUAACCUGCCUGGUAGCGGGGGAUAACUAUUGGAAACGAUAGCUAAUACCGCAUAAUAUUAAUUAUUGCAUGAUAAUUGAUUGAAAGAUGCAACUGCAUCACUACCAGAUGGACCUGCGUUGUAUUAGCUAGUAGGUGAGGUAACGGCUCACCUAGGCGACGAUACAUAGCCGACCUGAGAGGGUGAUCGGCCACACUGGGACUGAGACACGGCCCAGACUCCUACGGGAGGCAGCAGUAGGGAAUCUUCGGCAAUGGACGAAAGUCUGACCGAGCAACGCCGCGUGAGGGAAGAAGGGUGUCGGAUCGUAAAGCUCGGUUGUAAGAGAAGAACGGGUGUGAGAGUGGAAAGUUCACACUGUGACGGUAUCUUACCAGAAAGGGACGGCUAACUACGUG